ACUCUGAACCUCGAACUGGAUUCAGACUGAAACAACACAGCAUGAUUUACCAUCAACGAACGCAUCCUGUUUUAGUCCCCGUUAGGCAUCAAACUACGGUUUCAUGAAGAUUAGCACUGACAAAUCACAGGCAGUAACAACGAGAACCAGAUUGCGAGCGGCAAUCCAUCCCAACCAGAUCCACCACCCAACAUCGAUGACGCACCAAACCCAAACAUUCACAAGAAAACUAAUCUAAUCUAGAACUCCUGGGAAGCGGAGCCGAUGUCGCCCUUGCCCUUGCCGGCCUUCUUGGGGAGGAGCGUGCUGUGGAUGCUGGGCAGCACCCCGCCGGCGGCGAUGGUGACCGAGCCCAGCAGCUUGCUCAGCUCCUCGUCGUUGCGCACCGCCAGCUGGAUGUGGCGCGGCAC
rnacentral:lncRNA from 1 species